GACGCAGUUUUAGAAGUAUGAGGAAUUUUACGCAAUUUCGUAAAAUCACAGAUAAAUUUUGUGCAAUUUAGCCCAAUAGAAAUAUUAAUUUCCACCGUUAAUCGCUAUUUUAUAUUAUGUAAUAUUAUAUUACAUAUAUAUGACUGUGUAUAUAUAUACUGUGUGUAAAUAAUAUAAUGUAUAAAUAUAUGUAUGUAUAAUAUAAAUGUACGAAUGUGAUGUUACUAUAUAUAUAUAUGUAGGGUUCGGAUCUUCUGUCUGACACAUCUCUCUGUCGCCCUUGUCCAUCCAAUUGGAGAGCGACAGAUGCCUCUUUACCUUUUUUUUAAAAAAUAAAAAUUAAAUUUUUAUUACAAUUUACAAUUUCACCCCUAAAUUUUAAUGGCGAUUUUAUUUCUCUUUCAACCCCCAAAUUCCAUUUUUAUUUUGUUUGAACGAAGCAACAAUUCCAUCGCCUCGCUCGCCGCCCAGUCUGUUGCCUCCAGUCGCCGACUAGGCCGUCGCCUUCGCACACCACCUAGCCUCUCGCCGUCGUCAUUGUCCCGUUCGUUGCUGCUCUAUCCCCUUUCCCAAACCGCCCACCAUCAGAAAUCCUCCGGCUAUCUUCUAAUCGUCCUAGAACUGCGAACAUCGUCAUUGAGGUUGUUGAGGGCAAAAACCCUCUCACUGGAUCUAUAAGGGUUUACUCCAAGCCUAAGGCUAGAUCUUGGUCUCUGGAAGGGGCACUGAAACUGAAGAAUUUUCUCGGAUAUGGAGAUAUUUGGGAUGGUUCGGUUGCGUGUGGAUGGAGUCAGAUCCGUCUCAAAUGUCUUCCCAUGCUGUGAGAAGGCAGCUUGGGCAUAGUUUCUGUCAGCGUUAAAGUAUACAUUUAAAAUUGAUUCAAGAGAUUCACCGAUGAGACCUACUAAAGGACAUGCAUUUGUUUCCACAACUCAAGUUGGUGGUCUUUUUCUUGAUGUUCAAAGGCUACGCUUCAUACAUGGUUAGAUUUUGUUCUUUAGGAGCUGUCUAUAUAAGUACUCCAUCACUUAAAAAAAGUUCAUUCAAU